AAUAGAUACCCAGGUAGUCCACGCCGUAAACGUUGGGAACUAGGUGUGGGUCUCAUUCCACGAGAUCCGUGCCGCAGCUAACGCAUUAAGUUCCCCGCCUGGGGAGUACGGCCGCAAGGCUAAAACUCAAAGGAAUUGACGGGGGCCCGCACAAGCGGCGGAGCAUGCGGAUUAAUUCGAUGCAACGCGAAGAACCUUACCAAGGCUUGACAUGAACCGGACCGCUGCAGAAAUGUGGUUUCCCCUUUGGGGCUGGUUUACAGGUGGUGCAUGGUUGUCGUCAGCUCGUGUCGUGAGAUGUUGGGUUAAGUCCCGCAACGAGCGCAACCCUCGUUUUGUGUUGCCAUUUUAGGGAAACUCAAAAGACUGCCGGUGAGAAGCCGGAGGAAGGUGAGGAUGACGUCAAGUCAGCAUGCCCCUUACGUCCUGGGCGACACACGUGCUACAAUGGCCGGGACAAAGAGAUGCAAUCCCGCGAGGGUUAGCCAACCUCAAAACCCGGUCUCAGUUCGGAUUGCAGGCUGCAACUCGCUGCAUG
rnacentral:rRNA from 1 species